rnacentral:lncRNA from 1 species
CCUGUAUAUACCUAGGGAGGACGUGUUUCCCCUCCUACUUUCGAGAACGCCCUGCUCUGUCUAUGAGUAGCUAUUCUUUCACCACUUUACUUCCUUAAUAAACUUACUUUUGCUUUGCACUGUGGACUUGCCCUGAAUUCUUUCUUGUGGGAGAUCGAAGAACUCUCUCUUGGUGUCCGGAUCGGGACUCCUUUCCGGUAACAUCACUAUGUUGCCCAGGCUGGUCUUGAACUCCUGGCCUCAAACCAUCCUAUAGAUUCGACCUCCGAAAGUGCUGGGGUUACAGGCAUAGCCACUGUGCCCAGCUGGAACAAUCUUUAUGAAGGUGAAUUAAAGCUGUGAGGCAUGAGACCAGAAAAGAUGCACCAGGAGUAAUGGAUUUUGGUGGAGAAUGAGCCACAGAAACGCGAUCAUGAGGCAAAUGGUGGGGCCUAACCCUGCCUUCUCAGUCCUCGGGAUGGGAGACCGGGCUAGAGAAGAGAAGGCUGGUGUGAAAACGCCGGGAGGCCCUCAUCGAGCCUCAUUCUCAGCCACAUCGUAAGGAUUUAGAGGCCCUAAGCACUGACGACGCUGUGGUGCCACAAAAAUAGACAAGCAGGGCAUGUGCGCUGAAGCUGGAAGAGGCUUCUUCCAUAUUUUCAUUGCAAAAUCAGAACUUUGUUCCUCUUUGCAGUUGGUAUUUGAGAUGUUAAGAAUGGAAACGCUGAUUCCCCUCAGACCCGCUUUGCAGAUAACCCUGCAUUUUACCGAGAUGUCAAAGCAGGAAGUGCUUGGCUGGAACAUCUGCCGACAGCCUCAUCUCUUUCUGCAAGAUCAUGAUGUUCUGCAUGCUCCUGUGGCCUCUUAUUUCACGUUGCUCUCCCUGCAAAUUUUGAAACAACUUUAAAGAUGAAUAAAAAGCAGCUCAGCAAGUGAAUCCCAGAUCCCGGUAAGAGAGUGUCUCCCCCAACUCACAUAGUGAGUGCACAUCAUCCCCAGAACCACCAUGAGAGUGAGCCUGGUAGCGGGUAGCACCCUGCCUGUGACGAAGCCAGCACACUAUGACGAGCAGCAGCUUCUAGACCCAUGGACCACGGGCACUGCCAACGCUCUCCCUCCGGGGACUCCUCCUGCCUCCCAUACAGGGCCAAACUCCGACGCCCACGAGCUCGCUCAGAAUUGGCUCAGGCUGCAAUCACUUCUCUUCUCCUACCUCCACACCAUUCCCUGAUGGUGGACAGCUUCUCCUUUGAGAACCACACCUGCCUUUUCAGACAAAAGGAGACACCACCCACCCUCCUGCUGAGGGCUGCUCCCCUGGGGCCUUCUCAGCACACCUCUCUCUCUCUAGGUCAAAAAACAAAUUUCACAUGCUGAAUUUUUACCUUUUUUAAAGUGACUCCGAAUUUUGGCACCAGCAAUUAAUUCAACACUUGAAUAAGAUUUGAAAACCUCACAACAAAUCACAAAUAUAUUAUGGGUCCUGUU